rnacentral:tRNA from 1 species
AAUCAAUGAACUUGAAUAAGUGUAUAUUUUGAAAAUAUAAAAAAGAAAAAAAUUCUAUUGAUUU